GGGCCCGCACAAGCGGUGGAGCAUGUGGUUUAAUUCGAUGCAACGCGAAGAACCUUACCUGGUCUUGACAUACACAGAAUCUUGUAGAGAUACGAGAGUGCCUUCGGGAAUUGUGAUACAGGUGCUGCAUGGCUGUCGUCAGCUCGUGUCGUGAGAUGUUGGGUUAAGUCCCGCAACGAGCGCAACCCUUGUCCUUAGUUACCAGCGGGUUAAGCCGGGAACUCUAAGGAUACUGCCAGUGACAAACUGGAGGAAGGCGGGGACGACGUCAAGUCAUCAUGGCCCUUACGACCAGGGCUACACACGUGCUACAAUGGUAGGUACAGAGGGCAGCUACACAGCGAUGUG
rnacentral:rRNA from 1 species